GACGAACGCUGGCGGCGUGCUUAACACACGCAAGUCGAACGGUAAGGCCCUUCGGGGUACACGAGUGGCGAACGGGUGAGUAACACGUGGGUGAUCUGCCCUGCACUUCGGGAUAAGCCUGGGAAACUGGGUCUAAUACCGGAUAGGACUCCGGACUGCAUGGUCUGGGGUGGAAAGCUUUUGCGGUGUGGGAUGGGCCCGCGGCCUAUCAGCUUGUUGGUGGGGUGAUGGUCUACCAAGGCGACGACGGGUAGCCGGCCUGAGAGGGUGACCGGCCACACUGGGACUGAGAUACGGCCCAGACUCCUACGGGAGGCAGCAGUGGGGAAUAUUGCACAAUGGGCGCAAGCCUGAUGCAGCGACGCCGCGUGAGGGAUGACGGCCUUCGGGUUGUGAACCUCUUUCAGCACCGACGAAGCGCAAGUGACGGUAGGUGCAGAAGAAGGACCGGCCAACUACGUGCCAGCCGCCGCAGUAA
rnacentral:rRNA from 1 species